UUAGUCUUUGUUGAGUUCGCUCUGCAUUAGAAGAAAAGUCACAACACUCCAAGUUGAGUAUUAGACAAAUCCUCAGCAUGUACUUGGUUUGAUUAUGAUGAACUGCAACCUCCUAAGCCCUAGAUUUAUCAUGGCUUGGAUUGAGCACCAACUAAUCUCAAGUAUAGUUACAUAAUAGUUUUGGUAUCUCCAUUGUCAGCUAAAAGUUGCCUGGACCUUGUGUGUAUGCAUGUGUGCAAGUAUCUUUAUGCUUGUGGUAUAUGGAUUUUUUAAUUGACGUUUGCAACCCUUGAACUUGAAUGAAUAAUGCAAUUGUGUGUGCAUGUCUUGGUGACAAAAUAAGAAUGUCUUAAUUUUCCAAAUAACUGUUAUUUAGAUAUUUGAAUUGCAAUUAGCUCUUGGAUGAAUAAUGUGCAUGCUCAACUUCUCAUUCAUGCAUGUUGGUUGGAGGCAGGGGUGUGCAAAUAGUCGGUUUGAUUCAAACCAUAUCAAAAACUAAAAUUUAUUUUCUGAGAAACUGAAACGAAUUAUAUAGAGAAGUGAACCGAAUCAAAUUGAAAUAAAUUAAUUCGGUUUGGUCUGAUUAGUUCCAUGAACAGAAAAUCCUAAAUUACAGUCUCAUUCUUGCUGCAAUUUCAUGAACUAGAUUCUUCAGAACACCCUAAUUCUUGAUGCAAUUUCAAACACAAGAACACACUUUCAAAUUUCACAAUUCAUAAAUCAUCAACCAUAAAUCAUAAACCAAAUCCAAAUCAAAAUAAAAAGAUAAACAAAUUUGGAAGCUAGUUACUGGGUAUUGUUCAAUUUCGCCUUCUGAUUUCUUGGAUCUGGUCAUGGACUCACGAGAUUCAUCUUCUUUGUGAUUGAUGCCCCUGCAAAUAGAGAUAUUGUUGCUGUGUCAUUGUCCACCAGCGCUGACAACGAUGCUGUUCUAUCUGUCACUGCUCCUCUUGCCAAGGAUUCUUCCUUGCAUUUCCAGUCUCAUUGUUUCGUGGAGUGCCUCGCUAGUUUGUAUCAUCUCAAAUUAAAAAAAGAAGAUGAUCUCAAAGUAAUUAUAUGUAUAUUUAUAUAUUGAUAUGGUUGGGCUUUUGGAAUAGCAACAGCUGAGGUGAGAAGGACGGGUAACAGCAGUGGCAAGCAAGCUGCAUCACAUAAAAAUGUGGGAGAGAAUUGAGAGAGAGGGCAAAUGGGAAAAAUGCAGAGGGGGCCUGGAACAAAAUGACGCCAAAAGGGCCAAAACAACAAAACAGCAAUGUUGU
rnacentral:misc_RNA from 1 species